GGGAGUACUCGAGCGGCGCAAGGGAGAGUAACGCGUGGAUAUCUACCCCCUGGACUGGGAUAGCGGCGGGAAACUGCCGGUAAUACCAGAUAACGUCUGCGGACCAAAGGUGUGAUUCCGCCGGGGGAUGAGUUCGCGUCCUAUUAGCUAGUUGGUAGGGUAACGGCCUACCAAGGCAAAGAUGGGUACCGGGUGUGAGAGCAUGGCCCGGCUCACUGGGACUGAGACACUGCCCAGACACCUACGGGUGGCUGCAGUCGAGAAUCUUCGGCAAUGGGCGCAAGCCUGACCGAGCGACGCCGCGUGCGGGAUGAAGGCCUUCGGGUUGUAAACCGCUGUCAGAGGGGAGGAAAUGCAUGGGAGUUCUCUCCCAUGUUUGACCUAUCCUCAGAGGAAGUACGGGCUAAGUUCGUGCCAGCAGCCGCGGUAAUACGAACCGUACGAACGUUAUUCGGAUUCACUGGGCUUAAAGCGUGCGUAGGCGGCUGGGAAAGUUGGGUGUGAAAUCCCUCGGCUCAACCGAGGAAUUGCGCCCAAAACUACCUGGCUUGAGGAAGAUAGAGGUAAGCGGAAACUAAUGGUGGAGCGGUGAAAUGCGUUGAUAUCAUUAGGAACACCUGUGGCGAAAGCAGCUUA
rnacentral:rRNA from 1 species